ensembl:lncRNA
GUGCGUGCGUGUUGACCACGGUCCUCUGCUCUGCUGCGCGCUGCGCCUGUGGACUUCAGCAGAAGUCAGUAAGAACAUAAAGGCGGCCGCGGAAGAUAAAGAGAGAGAAAGGGGAGGGAGGGAGGGAGGGAGGACGGGACACAGACAGACAGAGAGAGAAAGAGAGACGCCUCUAUCCUCCGCCAGCACUCCACUGGAUUUAGUGCAUUUGGACGGACGCGAUCUCCCGGUACCUGCAGCCGUGCGCGCGCGGAUCGGGAUACGGAGCACGCGGCCGUGGGUUUAUUACACCCGCAGCUUCACCUCCAUCCUUUCUGUCGGACUCGGACGUCCAGUCGCCAUUGAGAUGUGAUUCUCUCGGGGUUUCAUUUCACGUUGACCAAGCCGAGCACACCACCACUGGGUCUGCGUGGUGUCAGGAAGACUGAGCUGUGAGGAAAACAGCUCGCCCCAAGACCGUCUGGGCUCAGCAGGAAGCGCCGCCAUAUUUACUUCCAGGUCAACCUCAGACGUCAUGUGGACCAGAUGCCUGCUCUUCGUCUCAACCUUGUUUGCCCCCAUCGCCAUUGGUAAGAACCGGCACCACGUGCAGCACCAAAUCAGAUUCAUGAAAUUGAUGUGGUUUGUCAGACGGCACUUUUUUUUGCUAUCUUCAUACACAUGGGUUUGACAAAGUGUUUGGAACAUGAAUUAUUUGUUAUCAUUGUUUUGUUAUUUUCAAUUCGACAGUUCGAAGAAAGAUGCUAAUUAGUGGCCAACCUGCGGUUUUGAGGUUUACUGAUCACUGGCCGUACGUUAGCGCCGUGUGUGACACCCCGAUCGCUCUGGAGCCAGACAGGAUUUUGACUUGUUACAGUAGGAAAAAAAGCAUAGGUGUAAAUAAGACAAUUAACAAUGUCUGAAAUUGUGAUGUUGAGUUGUUUUCUUUCCAAAAACAAUAGAA